UACGUAGGGUGCAAGCGUUGUCCGGAAUUAUUGGGCGUAAAGAGCUCGUAGGCGGUUUGUCGCGUCUGCUGUGAAAACGCGAGGCUCAACCUCGCGCCUGCAGUGGGUACGGGCAGACUAGAGUGCGGUAGGGGAGAUUGGAAUUCCUGGUGUAGCGGAGGAAUGCGCAGAUAUCAGGAGGAACACCGAUGGCGAAGGCAGAUCUCUGGGCCGUAACUGACGCUGAGGAGCGAAAGCGUGGGGAGCGAACAGG
rnacentral:rRNA from 1 species